UUCCCUAUUCUGGAGCUAGCUCGGGGAUGCUUCAACUGCAGAUGCAGGUUAGGGUAGUGUGUUGGGGCAGCUGCCCCACACUAGCAGAAAAGGGGUUAAAAGCAGCCCUAGGGGAGGCUGUGCCAGAGGCAGCCAAUUAGAAAGGGUCUGAAGGGAGCAGCCAAUCAUGGCCCGGCAGGCUCAUAUAAGAAGGGCUGCAGGGCAUAGCAGAGGAAGUCACUCCUGGGUGCUUGAGGAGUGAGGUAGGCUGGUUGCCUUGCAGGCUGAGGGCAGCAAGCACCCUGGACAUAACCGUGCUACAGGCUGAGGCCCUGAGGCUAGGGUAAAGAGGGUACUGGAGUGGCGGGGAAGUGGCCGAGGGAGAUCCACAGAGGAGUCGGAGAGGAUGCACAUUCAAGUUGUGACAGAAUGAGGGCUUGGGCACAUACCCUCUUCAGGACUGUGGGAGAAGCAAUCAACAAAGUCUUUGUUCCACAAUGGCCCAUUUCGAUUCAAUAGUCCUUCCUGAUGGGUAGGAGGAGAUAACACCUUCUGUAGGAAUCCAGCAUUUUGCAUUAGGUGACGUUUUUUCCUGUUUGACAUGCUGCUUUUAUGAGGAGCUGCUUGCGAUUCUCGGCAGCGACCUCACCUCUAUCUCAAAACACUCCAUGGAUACCUCCCAGGAGCCCCAGGCGACCUCGAGCAACAACGAGGAGGACAUCAUUGACGAGGAAGAAGAGGAGAAUGUGAGGCAGGCAAAUGGAGGAUCCAUACUCCCUGAUAUCCAAGAACAGUUUUUAACCCUGGAGCCCAUCUCUUCACAGGACCAGUUGGCGGUGGAGCUUGAUGCCAGGGAAGGCACUUCUGCUGAAACCUUGCCCGUCAGUGCAUCCUCCACACUGGGACAGAGACUUUUCCAGAUUAGAAGGUGGAAAAAGAAGAUUCGUGAGGACAUAUUCAAUGAGUUAAUGCAUGCCUCCGAGAGUAACAAGACGGAGCUCAGAGCAUGGAGGAUUACACUAUCCGAGAACAUGGACAGGGAGGACAGGAGAGUAUGCAGAGAACAUGCCACGUAGAAAGAGAUGCUGUGGAUUAUGAAGGAGCAGUCAGACAUGUCGAAGUUCAAGAAAGGCAGCUGUGUGCUAGAGUCCCUUUGCAGCCUAUGCUGAACCAGCUGCCAUCAUCGCCCAGUUCUACAUCCUUCUCCCCAAACCAUCCUUGUUUCUCCCCCCACAGUGUUAACCUGGGGCAAAAGGGCUGAUAUCUUACUUUUCUUUGCUGUCUCUGUGUGUUUGUGUGCAUAAUCAAACUGAACGGAUUGAGGAGAAAAGGCUCUUUAUUCAUUCAACACAGGGUGGGUUGGUGGGGUUUGAGCUUACAGGGGAGAAAAUGCAAUGGAGGGGACAGUUUGGUAAGGAACAACACAGAUAAGUGUCACCUUACUCUGUCUCAUUGUUGAAACUGGUUUUCAAAGCCUCAUGGAGAUGCAGAGGCCCUCGCUGUGCUCUUCUUAUUGCCCUGGUGUCUGCCUGGCAGCCAAUUCUGAGCAGCCAAUCUACCUCAACCCCCCACCCCACCCCAGCGGAAACUUUUCUCCCUUUGUUUCGCAGAUAUUAUGGAGCACGCAGCAGGCAGCAAUAACAAUGGGGAUAUUGCUUUCACUGAGUUUUAACCUAGUAAGGAAACUCUGCCAGCGACCUUUUAAACAUCCAAAUGCACAUUCCACCACCAUUCUGCACUUGCUUAGCCUAUGGUUGAACCGGUCCUUAUUGCUGUCCCGGCUGCCUAUGUAUGGCUUCAUGAGCCAUGGGAGCAAAGGAUAGGCUGGGUCUCCCAGGAUCACAAUUGACAUUUCAAUAUCACCAAAAGUUAUUUUGCAGUCUGGAAAGAAAGUCCCUGCUUGCAGCUUUCUAAACAGACCUGUGUUUCUAAAGAUGCACACGUUGUGCACCUUUCCUGACCAUCCUACAUGGAUGUUGGUUAAAUGGCCCCUGUGAUCCACCAGUGCUUGCAACACCAUUGAAAAGUACCCCUUUUGAUUUAUGUACUCUUUGGCAAGGUGGUCUGGUGCCAAGAUAGGGAUAUGUAUUCCAUCUAUCGCCCCACUGCAAUUAGGAAACCCCAUCCUGGCAAAACCAUCCACUAUGUCCUGCACGUUGCCCAGAAUCACUACCCUUCUUAGCAGAAGUCUGUUGAUGGCCCUGCAAACUUGGAUCACAACAGAUCCCAUAGUAGAUUUACCGACUCCAAACUGAUGCCCCACUGACCGGUAGCAAUCUGGCAUUGCAACCUCCCACAGAGGUAUCACCACUCACUUCUCCACUGCCAGAGCAGCUCUCAUUUUAGUAUUGCUGUGCUUCAGGGCUGGGGAAAGCUCUUCACACAGUUCCUGGAAAGUGGCCUUAUGCCUUCGAAAGUUCUGCAGCCACUGUUUAUCAUCCCAUAGCUGCAUAAUGAUGCAGUCCCACCAAUCAGUGCUUGUUUCCCAUGCCCAGAAACAGCACUCAACUAUGUCAAGGUGAUGCGUGACUGUCGCUAGCAACUGUGAAUUUCUCUGCUCUGUGUCUUCCAGCUGGGCUGCUUGCGUGGCAUCACAUUGUUCUGCAUAGCGGCUCCUGUAUUGGCUAUGUAAAUACUACAGGAUAAGGCACAAGGUGUUUGUGAUGCUCACAACAACAGUGUACAGCUGAGUGGCGUCCAUGCUUAUGGUGCUAUGGUGUCCGUGCAGAUAACCCAGGCUUACGAAAAAGGCUUGGUUUGUUUGCCGUUGAUUUCAGGGAGGGAGGGAGGUAAGUGCAUCGUGGGACGGUAAUGCCAUGUUGCCAUAACCACCCGCACCAAUGUUUUGGUCACAUAAGGCAUUGUAAGCCCAACCCAAAAUUCUGUGUGCACUCUGGGAUAGUUACCCACAGAGCCGUGCUUCGUGCGUCAAUGUAAACCCUGCUAGUGAAGAUGCACUCUGCCAACACAAUGAGCGUAGUGUGGACUUGCAAGCUCGACUUGCUUAAAUCGAGGCUCGAUGGCGACUUACAUGAAGCCGACUUAAUUUUGUCUUGUAGACAUGGCCUGAGACAGCUACCUCAGAGCCAGCUUAUAUAAAUGAGAUUGCCACUUCCUGAGGAGUCCUUCUACCUAUUCCUAGUUCCCCUCUUUCUCAGUUGUGGAGUGGUAGAGCUAUAGCGACCUGUUUGCUUGGUGCCAGCAGAGGAGAGAGAGAAGGGAACAAGCUGCCAUGUGGCACUUCUCAACAAUUUACAUGAAAAAUGCACACACCUGUGGCUAGAAGAUUGGAGCCUUUCCCUAGAUCAUAUAAGGGGAUAUGGAGUGCUCUGAUCCUACAAGAUGCGGGCAGGGAAUGUUUCUAAAAGGACAGUUUCAGUGGGUCCUUGUGCAAUUGAUUCUGCAGGGACAUUUGAGGGUUCUGCACAUAAUCACCUGUCUCACUGUUGGUGAGGAGCUGCUGCCUGCCCCUCACCACUCGGGGGCUGGAAGAAUCCUUAGCCUGAUUGAUCUCUCCUGUUUUUUGAGGCUAUCAACCACGAGUUUGCUGUUCAGGUACACUGUCCCUUUAAGGACCUUUAAGGACCAUCUGAUUGUCUGUCAGUUAGCUGAGUAGAACCUGCUUCCAGGAUGUGUGUGAGGCAGUAAGGAUGCGCCCCAUGAGCAAUUCCCAAGGGACAUGUCUCUGGGAAAUGCGAGGCCAUGAGGAACCAUCUAAAAUCACCCCUGAAAGGGAACCUGUGACCCUAACAGCUCCCCAGUGCCAGCUAGCACACUGUUGUCAUAACAUGUUACAGUCCAUCUUUUGGGUAAAUAUAAUUGGAAAACUAAUAACUCACUGAUCAUUAAUAUUCUUGCAUGAUGUAAGUAGAGUAAACCAACAAAGGAUUUUAUAGAUAUGCUGGAAAUAUAUGACUAAAAUGUGUUUAAACCAAGCUUAUCAGGGGGAGUUGAUAACCAGGUUUUCUCUAGACAAAGAAAAGAGGCCAACACCUCAAACCAGGCGUGGCCAGAUUCAACGGGCUAUUCAUUUGUAUGGGUGGUUGCAGGAAGAGAUCAUUUGCAUUGUAAAAAUCACCAGCAGGGAAGAAACCAGUCUGAAAUCUACAUGAGACAGCAUGGCCUCUACACCCAGCAGAGAAAAGCAACAUUAUCCGGAGAUACCCGUCAGAAUACAUUUCGAAGGUUUAUUGGACUAUUUAAAAAGGGGGAGAGAACCUCUAAAUUAUCCUUCACCCAAGGAGACAAAGGAACAGAGCACUUUGAGCUCUGUGAAGGGUCCUGGCCAGAGAGUCUGGUCAGCCAUGCUGGAAAAGAGACUUAUUUCGAAAUAUUUCUUUGGACAAGAGACUCUAGUUUGUUAAAUCAGACUUAGUCAUAGAAGCGUAUUUCACUUUUGUUUGCCUGUAGCCCUUUCUAUCUCUAUUCCUUAUAACUGAUAGCACUUAAGCCUACAUCUUUUUGUUUAAUAAACUUGGUUUACUUUUUACUGUAAACCAGUUUAGUGCUUUAAUUAAAACAGCGUGUUUGCUAAUCCCAGUUAAGGUAGUAAGAUGUCUUUUUAAGGGAGCAGUGAACUUAAUAACCUCUGUUGGCAGACCAUGAUAGGAGUUGUGCAUUGCAGAGAGACAGUUCUGAGGAACUCAGGAGCUGGAAUUCACUGAUUGUUACCUGCUAGGCAAGGUUUGGUCUGGCAGAGCCCUAAAGAGUUUGCUGGCAAGGCACACAAGCUAGUGUGUCAGGGAGUUGUCAUCCCGUUUAGCAACAGUAAAAGCUGCCAGAUGGGGGAAGCUUGCAGAGCCGUCAUGGGUUAACUGCCACAGAGAUAAUUGUGCGAUGAUUACGGCCUUUAAGAAAGUCCACACUACUCUUCUGGUACUGUGUGUGGAUUGGUAAUCUAAUUAUAGCUCAGGUUUUCCCCUCUGAGAAUCUGUGAAUGUAGCUUUGGCUGAUUAUCAGGACAGCACAAGUGUACCAGACUCUGCUUUUUGAUUUUCACAGAUCUAGCUGUGGUAGAAAUUCUCAGAAAUGUCUUAAUGCUAAAUACAUUGAGAACCACAUUUACAGAUGUAUUAUGGUAGCUUUACACUGGUUGUGCUUGCAUAAAGGGGCCACAUACAGCCACCCUAACAGCCGCUCGGGGAGUCCCCUUGACAUAGGCAAAGUCCCCAACAUGCAUGGAGACAAUAUAGGUAGCUUUGCACCGCCCACAACAGAAUCCUGCAGGGGGGCAGAGAGAGGAAGGGGGAAUGUUGGGACAUGUCAGGGAGGGAGUUGGCAUGGCCAGGAUGUUUCUAUGACCCAAAUAUUCCCAGCUGCCAGAGUAGCCUAUAAGAGUAGUUGUGUCUGGGGCAUGUGUUAUGGCAGCCCAGAGGCUGUGCUAACAUAUACGUAGGACUAAAGCAGCCCACAGCAAGCUCCAAGGUCGGGGAGGGGCAGAGCUAUCAUUUUGCCUCUGCUUUGGUUCCUGCACCAAGUUAAUUGAGGUGCAGGGAUGAAUUCCCAUGACCAGGGCCACAUAUGGUGCCUAUUCUUGCACAUUUUUUUCCCUGCAGCAUGAAGAAUUAUUGGCAUCUGUACACUGACCGUGAUCCCUUACUCAUUUUGUCACGUGAAAUAACUAAUGAUCAGCAGGGGAACUGGGGAGGAAUGGCAUUAUUUAAAGUUCACUCAUGUUUACUCACAUACCUGUUGCCUAGAUGAUCAUCUUUUGGAAUAAAUACAAAUUAUAUUUUAGCCUUUCACUUCUCAUAUGAACAAAGAAACAAGUCUCUACAGCAACCUGGGUAACAUAAGAACAUGAAAAUACAUCCCACACCACUUAAUUAAAUCAUCAUCCCUGCACCUCAAGCAUUGCAGUUGUGUCUGAGAUAUUGAUGGCCAAAGGGAAAUUUUGAACAAUUGAGGGUCAUUGUCAGGCUUUGGGAACAGAGAUGAGCCACGAUCCAAUGUGGUUUACAUCUAAGUCACAGAGAGAUGAAAACUUGGAACUUCAUUAUGCAAGAGUCUGAACAGCCUCAAUUCCCAUUGACAUCGUUUAGCUGAGGAUACUUAGCCCGUUUCAGGAGAUGCUCAGCACUUCUCAGGAUUCAAGCCCUUUGUUAUGAAUGUCACUGAUUACAUGUACAAAUCCAUUUUGGAGACGUGAAGAGCUAACAAUUUGCCAAACAAUUACAUCAAGCCAGCUCCCUAUUGGAGCCAAAUCUGUUCAUGUUCAUGUAUAGAACCUCUCAGAGCGCUGUCCUCUAGGGUAACGGGAAGCUUGAAGGGGCGAGGUGCCAGUUUGAGCCAGGUCUUCUGGCAGGGGGUCAGUUAGACGGCAUUCUAGGCAAAUGUUUGAGGUUCACAGUUCUGAGGCAGAUCCUACAUGUGCUAUUGUGAGUUGGAUCAGUGACUUUUAACUGAUCUUAUCAAUUUCUGUUUCCUAUGUGGAAAGUAUUUGAGUCAUAUAUUUCGAGCUCUGCUUCCAGCAGUACCUUGGUUUCACUAUUUAUAGGCACUCUUGAAAUCAUGUGCACUAUAAUAAGCUCCUUAUAGGGUCUGUAUUUCACAUUUGAUGAGUAUUUUUGCAAUUUCAUGGUAGUUUUUUUGAAGCGUGGCCCAUACUGUGCACAAUAGUCUCCAAUAGUUUCCAACAGUCUAUUUGUGCUUUGACAUUUUUUCUGUUCAUAUUCAUGUAACUACUCAUAACCAAAACUCUUCCCACUUUUUUUUUUUUCAGUCUGUGGGUAGUUCUACUGUGUUUUAGUCAGUGCUUUGGAAGCAUAAAUCACUGGGUGAUCCCAAUCCAUUUGAGUUUGUGUUGACUGAGAUUUUAGUCUCUUUAUUAAGCUCAUAAUAUUACAGUAGGGCGCUUUGAUGACUACUACUACUUUAAUUCUUCAAAAUGUUCCUUUUGCCACUCUUCCCAGUUCCAUUUUGUCCUGUUCUCAAGCAGUAUUCUGAGAGGAGAAUUUAAUUGUGGCAAAUUAGGGAUGAAUUUUUUAAAUAUAUUCACAUACCUUUGAAUCUCUGUAAAGCCUCCUUUUUAGGAAUCUAUUUGUACAGUUGCCUCCAUGUUUCUUUGAUAUGGUCAAACUCCUUUAUUACUGAAUAUGUAUCCUAGAUAUCUGAUCUCAUUCAGCCUGCUUAGGCAUUUGUUCUUGUUCAAUUUCAGGUUGUUUUCUUUGGCAUUCUGCAGAACAUUACUCAGUCUCUCAUUGUGGUGUUGUCAUUUCCAUUGCAAUUAAGUAGAUUAUCAAUAUUACUUCUACCUCAUCCAGAUCCUCAAAGAUCUGGGACAUAAUGCUUUGGUUCACUUCAGAUUCUGAGUCAGUCCUGAAGGGGAAUGGCUUCAUAUAUCUACCCAAGGAGGAGUUGAAAUUUCAAAUAUUUGACUGUUUGUAUGGAGUUAGACCUGCCAAACCCUUGGCUUUCAUCUAAAUUGAAAAUACUCUGGCAUUUUGAAGUCUAGACAUGACCAACUCAAAUGUUUUCAGAGGUAACACAAGUUUAAAUGCAGAAGUUACUGUCAGGCAGUAAAAUAUUUAAGCAGGGCCUGUCUCAGAGUUCUGUUAGAGCUUAUGGUGUCUCAAUUGAGAUGAUAUUUUAGUGCCUCUUAUGUGGUUCAGAGUAGGAAUGUGUGUAUCUGUGAGACAGUGGUCUAGUGAUUAAAGUCUGAACUCCUGGGUUCUAGGUCCAGCUCUGCAACUGACAUGCUGUAUUGCCUCUGAUAUGAUACUUAAUUCUUCAGUGCCUCGGUUUCCUCAUCUGUAAAAUGAAGAUAUUAAUACUUUUCUAUGUCACAUGGUGUGAAUUGCAGUGUUGUUGUAGCUUUGUGGAGCUCAGAAACUUGUCUCUUUCAUCAACAGAAGUU